rnacentral:rRNA from 1 species
AGUGAACGCUGGCGGUAGGCCUAACACAUGCAAGUCGAACGGCAGCACAGGAGAGCUUGCUCUCUGGGUGGCGAGUGGCGGACGGGUGAGGAAUACAUCGGAAUCUACUUUUUCGUGGGGGAUAACGUAGGGAAACUUACGCUAAUACCGCAUACGACCUACGGGUGAAAGCGGGGGACCUUCGGGCCUUGCGCGAUUGAAUGAGCCGAUGUCGGAUUAGCUAGUUGGCGGGGUAAAGGCCCACCAAGGCGACGAUCCGUAGCUGGUCUGAGAGGAUGAUCAGCCACACUGGAACUGAGACACGGUCCAGACUCCUACGGGAGGCAGCAGUGGGGAAUAUUGGACAAUGGGCGCAAGCCUGAUCCAGCCAUACCGCGUGGGUGAAGAAGGCCUUCGGGUUGUAAAGCCCUUUUGUUGGGAAAGAAAUCCAGCUGGCUAAUACCCGGUUGGGAUGACGGUACCCAAAGAAUAAGCACCGGCUAACUUCGUGCCAGCAGCCGCCUGUAA